UGAAGGCCUACUGUGUGCCAGG
rnacentral:miRNA from 15 species